AUUGAACGCUGGCGGCAGGCCUAACACAUGCAAGUCGAACGAGUGGCGGACGGGUGAGUAAUGUCUGGGAAACUGCCUGAUGGAGGGGGAUAACUACUGGAAACGGUAGCUAAUACCGCAUACCAUCGGAUGUGCCCAGAUGGGAUUAGCUAGUAGGUGGGGUAACGGCUCACCUAGGCGACGAUCCCUAGCUGGUCUGAUAGGAGGACCAGCAACACGGGAACUGGUACACGGUCCAGACUCCUACGGGAGGCAGCAGUGGGGAAUAUUGCACAAGGGGCGAAAGCCGGAUGCAGCCAUGCCGCGUGUAUGAAGAAGGCCUUCGGGUUGUAAAGUACUUUCAGCGGGGAGGCGUUACCAACAGAAUAAGCACCGGCUAACUUCGUGCCAGCAGCCGCGGUAAUAC
rnacentral:rRNA from 1 species